CUUGGCCUGAGGUGAGGAGGAGGAGGGAGGCAGGAUGAAAAAGGCGGCGUCUGACAGCGGGGGAGGCUGGAGGUGGGCGUGGCCCGGGAUGACGGGGGUCUCGGCGGUGAGGUCAGCGUGACAGAGCUGGAUGCACUCCUGCAGGGAAACGGGGCGGCAAAACUCAUGCAGAUAAAUUGAAGCCGUGUGAUUGGCUGUCGACCUGUCCGGGUGUCACACCCUCUCUCUUGUCCGAUGACAGCUGAGCUUGACUCCGCCCCCCCCUCCCCUUUAACGGAUAAGUGGUGUGGAUGAGACGGACAUUAGCGACAUCACUUAUCCUUUUAAUGUUUGCGGUAAAGCUAAUGGAGAAGUGACACGAGCAGAAGAUGAGAUUUAUUUCUAAUGGACGAACGACAGGAAACAAAAAAAAAAACAUUCCUUAAGUUUUCGCAGGAUAUUGCAAAUAAAUACUGAAAAUGUUUUUGAUUUGCUUUAUUUUUCUUUAUAUUGUAUUCAGUAUUUAUACUUUACAUUAAAUAAAUUAUUGAAUAUGAUUAUAGACAUAUCUAAUCUAACUAUAGAAUGUCUGUGAGAAAAGAUUCUGUCAAGACUCAAUCAAAACUCAAUUUAUUAUUUAAUGAUUUAGAAUUUUUUUGAUUAAAUAUUUAUUAAAUAAUAUUUUAUAACUCAAUUUCAUUUAGUUUUGAAAAAGGGAAUUUAAAUAAUAUAAUCAAUGUCCUCACCGCUCUGUCCUGUCACUGCUUCUGCUCCUUCGUCUUCUUCUUCUUCUUUCUCUUGUUGCUGGUGUUUUCUCCUUGUUUCUCUUCUUGUGUGUUGCUCUGAACGUUCGGACGACUUUAUAUUCUGUCGGCCAAGGACACACACACAAACUCACAAACACACACACACACACACACACACACACACACACACACACACACACACACAGAACAACGUCAUCACCAACAUGUAUUCGUGCUCGUAAACAUAAACUGCUGCAUGAAAAUAGACAGCCAACGAAACAUCAUCCUCCACACAAUUGUUUAUGUGAUUUUUUUUGCUGUGUAACAUUAAUUUGAUGUGUUGUUGUUUGACUGUUCUGGCAGUUUUUUCAGGUUCAGGCUGAACAACCAGCGAUAGUGUCGAUGUCGAUGUUCAUGCUCAGAACUUAUGAAACAGAAAUGGAGCAAAACACUGAAGAGGACAGGUUUUGCUCUUUAAAUGUCAGACGGCAGAUUUGUCAGAUUAACACCGAGCUGACGUGACCAGCGGCGGGAUUCAAACCUGCGGGUCAGGGUGUACGGUUACACCCAGACACAGCUGCUGCAGCUUCGUCCCUUUGUGUAGGCUCCGUGUGACGAACGCCGAAACCUGCUCGGGGUUUAUUUCAUUUCACGGACACAGGAAGGUGAAGACGCUUCUUUACGCCCACUGUUAAAUCCCACGUGAAGCUUCAUGUAGAGCUCGAGCUCCACUGAAAUACAUCAGGGCCUCUCUAUGUCCACUGAUGAACCACGUCCCCCUGGAGCUUCUCUUUGAGGCUCUGUCUUCCACAGGAACCUCUGGGAAGCUCUUUAUUUCACUUGGUUCGUUUUUAAAGCUCUACACCAUCAGGAUUCAGCUGACUCUUCCUUCAUCAGAAGUCUGUUUUUAAAGCUUCACACUCGUCAUUAUCCUCUUUGUAGAGUUCUGUUCACCCGGAGCCUCUUUACGGGAUCGGGAUCCACAAUGAGUCUCUUAAAGACUACAUCCACUGGAGUGUUUUAUGAAGCUCUGUGUCGACCAGGAAGGUGUUCUGUCGGAGUAACAUCCAAUAAUACGCCGUCAUUAACUCUUCAUUCAUAAUUCAUCUACAUAACUUUCCGGUGUGAAACAUGUUUCUGGAACAUGUUGGUUUGCAGCAGAAGAACAGCAACUGGAGUCGAGAACACGAACAUGUUAAAUCCCAUCUUGUGUUUGUCGAGAUUAUAAAAAGUGUUUUUCUGAAGCUUCACUGUUUCAUGUCAGUCGAUUGGUCUGAAGGGCUUUUUCUUUGUUUUUCUAAUGGAGCAGAUUGAGGAGGAUCUGGAGGCAGACAGCAGACGACACAAGAUGGCGCCAGUGAGUCGACUUCUUCAACAACGACUGAACAAACACUGACAUGAUAAAUUCAAUAUUCAGGUGGACAAAGAGGAGACAUGACUGCAGAAAGGCAGCAGAGUGCGUCGAGACAAACCAUCAGCCAGUUCCCAGUGAACUGGAUCUGGGGGAAACGGAGGUGUC